GGUCGAAGGAGGAAAUUCAUUCGCGUCUCGAUUGUCGGCGUUUAACGGGCUCGUGACGGAUGACGUUCGCGCGUCGUUCGCGCAGCUCGUUUUUCGAACCGAUAUCGAACGCGUGCACUUUUCCUCUUGUAGGACGUUGCGAUCCGUUGGGUGUCGGUCUAAGGUCCGAGGUGGAGCCCACGUGAACGUUUCGCGACGUAUCGCGUGGACCCUCGGUAUCCCGGCCGACUCGCUCGACGGUAUAACGAUGGCGCGGGGCCGCUACUUUUUAAUUAGCGUUCGGCUCGUAGCAAGCGCGUUCGGUGUUUGACGGCGAUCGGACCUAGCGCCGAUCCUGUCCCCGGGCGACUGUUGGCUACGAUGUUCUCGAACAGACCUCG
rnacentral:rRNA from 1 species